CAACAGGGAUUGCCCUAGUAACGGCGAGUGAAGCGGCAACAGCUCAAAUUUGAAAUCUGGCUCUCGGGCCCGAGUUGUAAUUUGUAGAGGAUGCUUUUGGUGCGGUGCCUUCCGAGUUCCCUGGAACGGGACGCCAUAGAGGGUGAGAGCCCCGUCUGGUUGGAUGCCAAUCCUCUGUAAAGCUCCUUCGACGAGUCGAGUAGUUUGGGAAUGCUGCUCUAAAUGGGAGGUAUAUGUCUUCUAAAGCUAAAUACCGGCCAGAGACCGAUAGCGCACAAGUAGAGUGAUCGAAAGAUGAAAAGAACUUUGAAAAGAGAGUUAAAAAGUACGUGAAAUUGUUGAAAGGGAAGCGCUUGUGACCAGACUUGGGCUUGGUUGAUCAUCCAGGGUUCUCCCUGGUGCACUCUUCCGGCCCAGGCCAGCAUCAGUUUGCCCCGGGGGACAAAGGCGCCGGGAAUGUGGCUCUCUCCGGGGAGUGUUAUAGCCCGGCGUGCAAUACCCUGAGGCGGACUGAGGUUCGCGCAUUCGCAAGGAU
rnacentral:rRNA from 1 species